GGGAGUGAAAUAGAACCUGAAACCGUAUACGUACAAGCAGUGGGAGCCCUUCGGGGUGACUGCGUACCUUUUGUAUAAUGGGUCAGCGACUUAUAUUUAGUAGCAAGGUUAAGCGAAUAGCGGAGCCGUAGCGAAAGCGAGUGUUAACUGCGCGUUUAGUUGCUAGGUAUAGACCCGAAACCCGGUGAUCUAGCCAUGAGCAGGUUGAAGGUUGAGUAACAUCAACUGGAGGACCGAACCCACUAACUUUGAAAAGUUAGGGGAUGACUUGUGGCUGGGGGUGAAAGGCCAAUCAAACCGGGAGAUAGCUGGUUCUCCCCGAAAUCUAUUUAGGUAGAGCCUCGGACGAAUUCCAUUGGGGGUAGAGCACUGUUAAGGCUAGGGGGUCAUCCCGACUUACCAACCCUUUGCAAACUCCGAAUACCAAUGAGAACUAUCCGGGAGACACACGGCGGGUGCUAACGUCCGUCGUGGAGAGGGAAACAACCCAGACCGCCAGCUAAGGUCCCAAAAUAUUGCUAAGUGGGAAACGAUGUGGGAAGGCAUAGACAGCUAGGAGGUUGGCUUAGAAGCAGCCACCCUUUAAAGAAAGCGUAAUAGCUCACUAGUCGAGUCGGCCUGCGCGGAAGAUGUAACGGGGCUAAGCAAUAUACCGAAGCUGCGGCAGCAUAGUUUACUAUGCUGGGUAGGGGAGCGUUGUGUAAGUGGAUGAAGGUGAGUUGUAAAGCUUGCUGGACAUAUCACAAGUGCGAAUGCUGACAUGAGUAACGAUAAUGGGAGUGAAAAACUCCCACGCCGGAAGACCAAGGUUUCCUGUCCCAUGCUAAUCAGGGCAGGGUAAGUCGGCCCCUAAGGCGAGGCAGAAAUGCGUAGUCGAUGGGAAACGGAUUAAUAUUUCCGUACUUAUAUAAUCAGUGAUGGAGGGACGGAGAAGGCUAGGCAAGCUUGGCGUUGGUUGUCCAAGUGAAAGCGAGUA
rnacentral:rRNA from 1 species